rnacentral:rRNA from 1 species
CCUACGGGAGGCAGCAGUGGGGAAUAUUGGACAAUGGCGGGAACCCUGAACCAGCGACGCCGCGUGAGUGAAGAAGUAUCUCGGUAUGUAAAGCUCUAUCAGCAGGGGAGCAAGAAAUGACGGUACCUGACUCAGAAGCCCCGGCUAACUACGUGCCAGCAGCAGCGGUAAUACGUAGGGGGCAAGCGUUAUCCGGAUUUACUGGGUGUAAAGGGUGCGUAGACGGCGAUGCAAGUCUGAAGUGAAAGGCGGGGGCCCAACCCCCGGACUGCUUUUGAAACUGUCUGGCUGGAGUGCAGGAGAGGUAAGUGGAAUGCCUAGUGUAGCGGUGAAAUGCGUAGAUAUUAGGAGGAACACCAGUGGCGAAGGCGGCUUACUGGACUGUAACUGACGUUGAUGCUCGAAAGCGUGGGGAGCAAACAGGAUUAGAUACCCCUGUAGUC